GGGUCGUUAGCUCAGCUGGUAGAGCAGUUGGCUUUUAACCAAUUGGUCGAUGGUUCGAAUCCAUCACGACCCACCA
rnacentral:tRNA from 4 species